GCGGCCUAUCAGCUUGUUGGUGAGGUAACGGCUCACCAAGGCAACGACGGGUAGCUGGUCUGAGAGGACGAUCAGCCACACUGGGACUGAGACACGGCCCAGACUCCUACGGGAGGCAGCAGCAGGGAAUCUUGCGCAAUGGACGAAAGUCUGACGCAGCGAUGCCGCGUGGGGGAUGACGGCCUUCGGGUUGUAAACCCCUUUCAGGAGGGACGAAAUUGACGGUACCUCCAGAAGAAGCCCCGGCCAACUACGUGCCAGCAGCCGCGGUAAUACGUAGGGGGCGAGCGUUGUCCGGAAUUAUUGGGCGUAAAGAGCUCGUAGGCGGCUUGGUAAGUCGGCCGUGAAAACCAAAGGCUCAACCUUUGGAUGUCGGUCGAUACUGCCAUGGCUAGAGUCCGGUAGAGGAGGGUGGAAUCCCCGGUGUAGCGGUGAAAUGCGCAGAUAUCGGGAGGAACACCAGUAGCGAAGGCGGCUCUCUGGGCCGGAACUGACGCUGAGGAGCGAAAGCGUGGGUAGCAAACAGGAUUAGAUACCCUGGUAGUCCACGCCGUAAACGUUGGGUACUAGGUGUGGCGUCUUAUCAACGGAUGCCGUGCCGAAGCUAACGCAUUAAGUACCCCGCCUGGGGAGUACGG
rnacentral:rRNA from 1 species